GGUAAUACGGGAUGUGCCCUGAGGGGGAAAGGUCUUCGGACCGGCAGGAGAUCGGCCCGCGUCUGAUUAGGUAGUUGGUGGGGUAACGGCCCWCCAAGCCGACGAUCGGUAGCUGGUUUGAGAGGAUGAUCAGCAACACUGGGACUGAGACACGGCCCAGACUCCUACGGGAGGCAG
rnacentral:rRNA from 1 species